CCGUUCUUCUUUUUAUAAAUGACGACUCCAAUCACAGCGAUGAGGACGAGAGCAAGAACAACCACUGCAGCGAUGAUGGGGACGUCUCACCUUCGUUGGUCCUGAUCACUGCUUUGUCCAGUCUGGUGACGAGGUCGUCCUUCACACCAGAGAGCUGAAACACACAGUCGUACCUCCUCCAGUCUUCAGCUGAUGAAAGUUUCACGUCAACACUCAUCUGGAAGGUUCCAUCGUGGUUGGGGAGGAUCUCUCCGAGGUCCACGUCCUCAUGAAGGUCCUCUCCAUCUUUCCUCCAGAACAGUGUGGCUCUGUCAGGGUAGAAACCUGUAGCGUGGCAGCUGACUGGAGAGGAGGGAGUCUUCUGGAGGAGA